AUGCACGCUGGCGGCGUGCCUAAUACAUGCCAGUCGAGCGAACAGACGAGGAGCUUGCUCCUCUGACGUUAGCGGCGGACGGGUGAGUAACACGUGGAUAACCUACCUAUAAGACUGGGAUAACUUCGGGAAACCGGAGCUAAUACCGGAUAAUAUAUUGAACCGCAUGGUUCAAUAGUGAAAGACGGUUUUGCUGUCACUUAUAGAUGGAUCCGCGUCGCAUUAGCUAGUUGGUAAGGUAACGGCUUACCAAGGCAACGAUGCGUAGCCGACCUGAGAGGGUGAUCGGCCACACUGGAACUGAGACACGGUCCAGACUCCUACGGGAGGCAGCAGUAGGGAAUCUUCCGCAAUGGGCGAAAGCCUGACGGAGCAACGCCGCGUGAGUGAUGAAGGUCUUCGGAUCGUAAAACUCUGUUAUUAGGGAAGAACAAAUGUGUAAGUAACUAUGCACGUCUUGACGGUACCUAAUCAGAAAGCCACGGCUAACUACGUG
rnacentral:rRNA from 1 species